CGGACGUACCCGGGAACACUCUGGCCCACGACUCUCACGUGCUGUUUUGGGGCCUCCGAUCUCAACCUGGGGCGGGGGCAGGAAGCUCUCUGGGUCCGUUUUCUGCCUUCAAAACUGACUUGUAAACUCUCUUCUGCUGACUACACGUGUUGCUUAACCUGGUUAUUGCCUCGUUUUUUGAUGUCUGUAAAGAGGUUUCUAAUCCAGAGACAGUAACAGUAAUUGUUUAGGGCUUAGGAGCCAAUGGGGGAUGGCGGGCGGGGGUCGGGGGGAGCAGGAGCCCGAGGGAAACAUAUUCACUGUAUUGUCUUUUGUCUCUUAAAUAUCGUAUGUGCCAUUACCUGUUACAGACAAAUACAUGGAUCUUUUCCCUCCAAGAUGUCACAGGGCUGGCUCUGAAUAUAAAUAGAAUAGGUGCUUUUCAGGUUGGAAUGUUCUGUGGAUUUACUCAACACAAGAGGACAAAGAGUAAGGGCUGCUCCCUGUCUUCCAGCCCUCCCUUUGUGCAACUCUCUACAGAACCCAAAUGAUGUGACUGGUCCCCUUCUUUCUCCACAUUCAGAUAUUCAUUGAGUUCCUACAAUGUGGCAGGCACUGUGGUGACUUCAAGGAUAUAUCCAUGAAAAAGAAAUAGAUGAUGGGAAAGAACAGGGGCCCUGGCAACCUGUAAGCACCAUCCCCAGCCCCCCAAGCUGCCCAUGGGGUUUUAGUAAAGGCUUCAGGGAGGAGCCAAUGUAUAAGCCAAGUCCUGAAAAGGAAUCAUGCUAGCCAGGUGAAUCAGAGAUGAGGGCUUGGGAGGGUCCAAGCAGAAGGAACUUACCUUCACUAUGAAGAGGACCGAGUUCCAGAAGAUGAAUGGAUCAACACCACUGAAAUGUGAACAUUGUGAUGUUUCAAGUCAAUGGUCUUGUUGACUUCAAAGGCCCUCAAGAAAUCGAAGAAUGAGGGGAGCAUGUGAGGAGGGGCCUGAACAGAGAGCCUGAAUCUUUCAUGCAGCCAGCAGAAUCUUUGAGGUACUGGGAAGAAUGCUGACCUCCCAGGAGUCUGUCUGGAAAGUGCCAGCUAUGAGCCCAGCUCCAUUUCCUUAUUGGAAGCUCAUUUGCUCAGCUUGAGAAGUCUGAGCCUGCAGUGAAAGAGUGUGCAGGUGGCAGAGAUCUACUUCAGGGGACAGAGCUGUGGACCAGAGGGAAAGCAGCUGAAGGACCAGCUCUGCCAUCAGGCCCCUGACCUCUACUUGGAGCUUUUCACGUAGAGAUUUGUAAGCAGGUGUGCCCAGUGGUCCUCAUCUUGGGCUUGUCAUAGGUGCUCUCCUGCAGCCUUCCCCACACAGAGGUUGAUCCUCUGGUUCUUAAACCACACCCACCUCUAAUCAGCUGAGUGCAAGGGUUCCAGGAGUGGACCUGAACCCUUGCGGACUUCUUUAGAGCCUGAGGGCUGAGAGCAGAGGGACUGAAUGUGAAGGGGCCGAAUCAAUGGGCUGAGCUCUCUUGCAGUCCAGAAUGCCUCUGCCUCCAGGAGGCCCUGAAACAUAAAUGAGGACCUGGACCCUCAGGUUUCUCUGUGGUUUCACUCCUCACUUCUCUCUGCUCUGUGCCUGCUCAGCAGGAUGUCUCAGAAUAACAGUUUCUUGGGCAGCCUGGACAGAGGAGAGGAGCAAGGGUGGGAGAAGAUGGAAAGUAUCAGAGUUAGACUUUCCAGUGGUGGGGAGCCCACUUUGAUGACUCAGAGGCCAUGAUAAAGUAGCAAAUCAGAACCUGGACUGGCAAGCAGCAGGGAGGGCCAGAAAUACUAUUUGGACUCUGGCUCUGCCUCCAUGCAGCUUGAAGGAGUCUCUUCCCUUCUUGUGGUCUCAUCUUCCUUGGCUGAAUGUAGAGUCUAGAUUAGAUCCCAUGUGCCAUCUCAGAUCACUUUUCACGGGCUAUGUGGAGCUCCAAGUUGAGGAUCCGAGGAAGCUGUCAUUGGCGGGAAAGUUCUGUGAUUGAUUAGCAGUGUCUGCCUUGGAUGAGCAAAGGGGCCUUUAUGGUAUGCAUUCUACUUCAGUAUUUUGUUGUUACUUAUCAAGCACUUGGGCUGUGCCAGGCACUAUUCUAAGCAGUUCACAUUUCAUAUUUGCAAUAACUCCAUGAGGUAGGUACUAUUAUCCUUAUUGGUGUGGAGGAGCUGAAGUACAGCCAGUAAGUGGUGGGAUGGAGACUCCCAUCUGGGCAAACCUGGCUCCCCUCUCAUGCUUUUUGCCACGAUGGCAUGCCACCUCUCGUUGAUGAGUCCUGAGGCUCCUGACAAUCUAUGGUUCUGUCGGGGCCCAGUGGGGUCAGAAUCCAGCAGA